GAUGAAGAACGUAGCGAAAUGCGAUAAGUAUUGUGAAUUGCAGAAUCCAGUGAAUCAUCGAAUCUUUGAACGCACAUUGCGCCCGCCAGUAUUCUGGCGGGCAUGCCUGUUCGAGCGUCAUUACAACCCUCAGGCCCCCGGGCCUGGCGUUGGGGAUCGGCGGAGCCCCCCGUGGGCACACGCCGUCCCCCAAAUGCAGUGGCGGUCCCGCCGCAGCUUCCAUCGCGUAGUAGCUAACACCUCGCGACUGGAGAGCGGCGCGGCCACGCCGUAAAACACCCAACUCUUCUGAAGUUGACCUCGAAUCAGGUAGGAAUACCCGCUGAACUUAAGCAUAUCAAUAAGCGGAGGA
rnacentral:misc_RNA from 1 species